rnacentral:rRNA from 1 species
UACGGAGGGUGCAAGCGUUAUCCGGAUUCACUGGGUUUAAAGGGUGCGUAGGCGGGCAGGUAAGUCAGUGGUGAAAUCCUUGAGCUUAACUCGAGAACUGCCAUUGAUACUAUCUGUCUUGAAUAUUGUGGAGGUAAGCGGAAUAUGUCAUGUAGCGGUGAAAUGCUUAGAUAUGACAUAGAACACCUAUUGCGAAGGCAGCUUACUACGCAUAUAUUGACGUGAGGCACGAAAGCGUGGGGGAUCAAAACAGG